GCACGAAACCACCUCGCGACACGCGGCUACCACCACCGAGCACCGAGUGGGGAAAAAGGGGAGAAAUCUUGUGCGCCGCCCCUCUCCCCCCACGGGCAAGAACAAAACCAACUUUCCCUUGCGGCUGCGCGCGGUCGUCUUCCACAACUUCCACUCCCUUGGCGCAGCCGCUACCCCGUUUCCGCUCCCUGCCUCAGCACCAGCCUAACCCGGCAGACGCCAAGAUCAAGCAACCGAGCGCAUAAAGCAAGCUCGGGAGCCAGAACCUUCUUCGAUCGACCAGCCACAGUCGGGCGGAACAAGAAUCAGUUCGAUCCGGCCGGUGCAAGAACUUGCUGGGACUGGGACAGGCGAGGGCGACGACGACGACGACGACGUCCGGGGUUCUCCGCUUUCCGACGGCAAGCGAGGUGGCAGUGGCACCGGAGGGAUGGGCCUUUCGGCGGUGAGGCGUAACCCGCCGCUCUUCUCCAAGUCGCCGGCGUCCCUGCUGCUGCUCUCCAAGCUGCUCACCCUCUACUGUUGAGCUUCCGGCGGGCGGCUGUUUCCCUCUUCUCGGUCGAGCGAGUCAUCCAUGGGCGCCGUGGGGUCGUCGGCGAGGCGGGGCGGGGGCACGGCGCUGGGGGACCUGCCGGAGAACUGCGUCGCCGAGGUGAUGCUCAGGCUGAACCCGACGGAGAUCUGCGGGAUGGCGCGGCUCAGCCGCACCUUCCGCGGCGCCGCGUCCGGGGACGCCGUCUGGGAGGCCAAGCUGCCGCGCAACUACGCGCGCCUCCUCGCCGCCGCCGGCGGUGGCGACGAGGAAGCCGCCGCGUUGGAGGCGGAGGCUAUCCCAAAGAAGGAGGUGUAUGCGCGGCUCUCCCGCCGCAACUCCCUCGACGGCGGCACCAAGGAGUUCUGGCUCGACAAGGCUGGUGGAGGCACCUGCAUGACAAUCUAUUCGAGGGCGCUUUCGAUCACAGGCAUCGAUGACAGGAGAUACUGGAACUUCAUUCCAAAUGAUGAAUCAAGGUGCUUUCAUCAAAACCAAAUACGACAGCUUAUAAUGGUCCUCAUUAAUAGAAACUUUAUGCCAUGACUUCUCUCUUUUUUCUUUGUGGAUGAGUAUCUGAACUCCUGGUGCGUAUCGCCGAAGCUGAGCAGCACUUCCCGCUAUUCGUAUGUUUAGCCACUUGAACUCCAAAUGAUGCAAACUACAUCAACACUCCCUGUGUUCAACUCAUGUUACAAGUUGCAACUGACAGUUAGCUUGUCUUGAUAAUAAAAGCAAAAGAAGGCGGGAUUGUGAACAACACACUACUUCCACAUGUCACCAACUAGGGGUGUGGUUAUCUGCAGUGGCCCCUGAAGUGUAUGGCCGUUGGAACAUGAUAAGCAGUAGUUGUUUCUUAUGAUGCAUUGGUGCCUUUCAUGUGAGAUAAUUGAGCAUGUUUGCUUUGUUAAUCAUGCCUUUCAUGUGAGAUAAUUGAGCAUGUUUGCUUUACCGGCAUACGACUACGCAUAAGUGUGUAUUUUAUGUGUUUGUACAGUUGUGCUUUCUCAACUGUAUAUGGUUAUAGAGCCACAAUGUUCUAAACAUUUGGCAGAUAAGAGAAGUCCUGAUAAGCAUGCUGCUUUUUCUGCAGGUUCCGUUCGGUUGCUUAUCUCUCCCAAAUCUGGUGGUUUGAAGUCAGAGGGGAGGUUGAGUUCUGCUUCCCAGAAGGUACAUACAGCCUGUUUUUCCGAAUUCACCUCGGCAGGCCUUUCAAGCGGCUCGGUCGCCGGGUUUACAGUGCCGAGCACAUCCAUGGGUGGGACGUAAAGCCGGUGCGCUUCCAGCUAUCGACUUCGGAUGGGCAGCAGGCCCAGUCCAAGUGUUACCUAACUGAUCCAGGCGUCUGGAUCUAUCAUCAUGUCGGCGAUUUCGUCGUGAAGGACUCGAACGGGCCACUGAAUAUCAAGUUUGCAAUGGUUCAGAUAGACUGCACACACACAAAAGGAGGCCUGUGUAUGGAUUCAGUGGUUAUAAAACCCAAAUGCCUUGCGCGGAAAAAGGGACCUGGGAGUUAUGAGUAGUUUUAGUGAGCACAUUAAGCUCGAUAUCUAUAGAAACAAUAUGGUUUUGCUUACUUCCUCCGUCGUGUGCGCUUGCGGCUGUCGGUGUUUUUUCAGUCCUGUAAUGUGAAUGUAAUUGGAGGGGUGAGUGAUUUUUUAUUUCCUCUUGUCCCUGUAUAGGAGCAUCAAGCAUGUCACACCUUGUAAAUUGCGAGUUCAGUGACAGAUAUACAUGUUUGCCUUUGCUAUGUUCUGAUCCUUGUGUUCCAAACCUUGGUUGGAUCAAAUUCUCCUCG
rnacentral:rRNA from 1 species